UCUUCUGUGUGUGGCAGGUCCCCUGUGCAGGUACAAGCGCACACGGAGGGUGAUGUGUGCCAGCUACCUUGUGGGUUUCUGCCCUGAUGGACCUAAAUGCAAAUUUAUUGACCUCAAGGCCGGGUUGAUGAUGCACAGCACAGAUCCAGCAAAGGUGAUGCAGGAGGUCCCCACACUGACCCAUCUCAAACUGUUCUUGCUCUGUGCCCCUGCCCCAGUGCUCUGGUAGGAGCUGGGGGCUGCUGAAGCUGACUGCCACAUGUCCCCACCAGGGGGUGUCCUCAGAAGAUAGGCAUGGUUAGGACCUGCUGCCAGGGGGGAGAGGGGAUGCAAACAUGUGUCACCUGCAGAGCCCCAGCUGCUAGUCACCAGCACCACCCAGUCCCUGGCAGUGCAGCCCAGGAACCCCAGCAAUGGUUCCAUCAUCCUACAGUGCCCACCAGAACCAGGCAUCAGCUUCGAGUGCAGACAGAAAGGUCACUAUGCUGGCAAGCGUGGGAAGAACCAAAUGGAAAUCCUGCUGAGGAAAUGAGCGCUCACAGGGAAAGCAGAAGGAAGACAGAGGGAGAUGUACAACAUGAUGGAGCCAGACAGGCCACCAGGACAGCUGCUGGACUAGAAAAGCCUGUUGGCUAUGCUCAACACUUGCUCUUAGAGCUAUGUGCCUGAGCAGCAAAAGAGAAAUCCCAUCUUCCUCAAUGGAAUUCACUAUUCCCACAGCAGUCACUGCCUCCAUCCCCUCCUGCACAGCUGGAAUGCGGCUACGCUUGGACUGGUGCAGCAGGGAGAUGGCACCAGGAGAUUGCCAGCCCAAAGUCUGAAGGAGGGUGGGAAUGGCUUGUGCCUGGGUCAGAGGAAAGGGGGGUGUGCUGGUCACGUCGGAAGUAAGCAAGAAAUCACCAUGUUGAAGAAUGCACAGGACCAAACAGGAAAGAAAAAUUCACAAGGAUUUUAUUGCUGGUGAGAAGGGAGUUCUUUGUGAAACACCUCUGACACAGUUCUGCACCCCACUUAAAAUAAGGAGUUCACUUAUUUAUUUUUUUUUGCCUGCUUUUGUGCCUGUAACAUGACCAACCCUUUUCCAGACAUGUUUGAGGAUGGCAGGCUACAA